UGCUUCACGCUGACACCGAGGAGGAGCCGAAGAUCACCAUCUUUCUGCAGUUGACGAUCUCUGAAAUCUGAUUCAUCUUCACCAUGACGCUGUUGGCUGUUUCUGCACUUCUCUGUGCAAUGACGAUUACGACCCUCGGAGCUGCCUUGGAACCUCACGUGUUUAGUAAGUUCUCAUCCUGUCCCUGUGCAUGGACACAGUUCCAGGACCGAUGUUUCAUCUAUGUCCCGAAGGCCAUGACGUGGGCCGAG